rnacentral:rRNA from 1 species
UACGUAGGGGGCAAGCGUUGUCCGGAAUUAUUGGGCGUAAAGGGCUCGUAGGCGGUCUGUUGCGUCGGGAGUGAAAACUCAGGGCUUAACCCUGAGCCUGCUUCCGAUACGGGCAGACUAGAGGUAUGCAGGGGGAAGACUGGAAUUCCUGGUGUAGCGGUGGAAUGCGCAGAUAUCAGGAGGAACACCGGUGGCGAAGGCGGGUCUCUGGGCGCAGUAACUGACGCUGAGGAGCGAAAGCGUGGGGAGCGAACAGG